rnacentral:rRNA from 1 species
UGAUGGAGGGGGAUAACUACUGGAAACGGUAGCUAAUACCGCAUAACGUCGCAAGACCAAAGUGGGGGACCUUCGGGCCUCAUGCCAUCAGAUGUGCCCAGAUGGGAUUAGCUUGUAGGUGAGGUAACGGCUCACCUAGGCGACGAUCCCUAGCUGGUCUGAGAGGAUGACCAGCCACACUGGAACUGAGACACGGUCCAGACUCCUACGGGAGGCAGCAGUGGGGAAUAUUGCACAAUGGGCGCAAGCCUGAUGCAGCCAUGCCGCGUGUAUGAAGAAGGCCUUCGGGUUGUAAAGUACUUUCAGCGAGGAGGAAGGCGAUAAGGUUAAUAACCUUGUCGAUUGACGUUACUCGCAGAAGAAGCACCGGCUAACUCCGUGCCAGCAGCCGCGGUAAUACGGAGGGUGCAAGCGUUAAUCGGAAUUACUGGGCGUAAAGCGCACGCAGGCGGUCUGUCAAGUCGGAUGUGAAAUCCCCGGGCUCAACCUGGGAACUGCAUCCGAAACUGGCAGGCUAGAGUCUUGUAGAGGGGGGUAGAAUUCCAGGUGUAGCGGUGAAAUGCGUAGAGAUCUGGAGGAAUACCGGUGGCGAAGGCGGCCCCCUGGACAAAGACUGACGCUCAGGUGCG